AUUGAACGCUGGCGGCAGGCUUAACACAUGCAAGUCGAGCCAACGGAGGACGGGUGAGUAAUGUCUGGGACACUGCCUGAUGGAGGGGGAUAACUACUGGAAACGGUAGCUAAUACCGCAUACCAUCAGAUGUGCCCCGAUGUGAUUAGCUUGUAGGUGGGGUAAUGGCUCACCUAGGCGACGAUCCCUAGCUGGUCUGCGAGGAUGACCAGCCACACUGUAACUGAGACACGGUCCAGACUCCUCCGGGGGGAAGCAGUGGGGAAUAUUGCACAAUGGGGGCAAGCCUGAUGCAGCCAUCCGGCGUGUAGUAAGAAGGCCUUCGGGUUGUAAAGUACUUUCAGCGGGGAGGCGUUACCCGCAGAAGAAGCACCGGCUAACUCCGUGCCAGCAGCCGCGGUAAUAC
rnacentral:rRNA from 1 species